GUAGUUGUAGCUCAGUGGUAGAGCACUUGCCUAGCAUGUAUGAGGCACUGGGUUCAAUCCUCAGCAUCACA
rnacentral:tRNA from 1 species